rnacentral:rRNA from 1 species
GACGAACGCUGGCGGCGUGCUUAACACAUGCAAGUCGAACGGAAAGGCCCUGCUUUUGUGGGGUGCUCGAGUGGCGAACGGGUGAGUAACACGUGAGUAACCUGCCCUUGACUUUGGGAUAACUUCAGGAAACUGGGGCUAAUACCGGAUAGGAGCUCCUGCUGCAUGGUGGGGGUUGGAAAGUUUCGGCGGUUGGGGAUGGACUCGCGGCUUAUCAGCUUGUUGGUGGGGUAGUGGCUUACCAAGGCUUUGACGGGUAGCCGGCCUGAGAGGGUGACCGGCCACAUUGGGACUGAGAGACGGACCAGACUGCUACGGGAGGCAGCAGCGGGAAAUAUUGCACAAUGGGCGGGAGCCGGAUGCAGCAACGCCGCGUGCGGGAUGACGGCCUUCGGGUUGUAAACCGCUUUCGCCUGUGACGAAGCGUGAGUGACGGUAAUGGGUAAAGAAGCACCGGCUAACUACGUG